rnacentral:lncRNA from 1 species
UGUACUUUAGCCUGGGCCACAAGAGCAAAACUCCGCCUCAAAAAAAAAAAAAACCUUCCUUCCUUUCUUCUGUGUGCUCUUGCGAUCAGGUCGGACGCGAGCAGCACUCUUCUUCAGAAUUGCGGAAGGCCCUCGUGACUGGACCUCCUGCCAAACAACUCGUUACAAAAAACUGAGGGUACCAGACUGCGCCAAAGCUUCAUGAGACCUGUCCUCAUCUGUGCAGAAAUGAGUGGCCGACUCUGGAACCCAGGCUGUUGCUUACCACCUUGGUGGUGAAACCUCCAUACUCUAGUCCUGAAGGGGCGAGGCCUUAAGCAUUAUCCAAUCAGGGACACUGGGCUGGAAACCGUCCAAUCAGACACCCAGCUGGAGCGAACAGGUCGACUUCCGAGUUUGGCGGGGCCUUUGUCUCUCACUGCACCUGGAGCUCCAGGUCUCAUCUUCACUACUCUGUGUCCUCUGCUGCUGGAGGCCCAGCCCUGUGACCUGACGGUUUUGGGAGAUCCACAGCUAAGACGCCAGGACCUCCUGGAAGCCUAGAAAUGAGUUUUCGCUCUGUUGCCAGACUGGAGUGAGGUCCUACAGUUGUGCAGCCGCGCGAUCUGGGCUCACUGCAACCUCCACCUCCCGGGUUCAAGCAAUUAUCCUGCCUCAGCCUCCUGAGUAGC